ACAGGUGGCAUUGAAUUCCAGCGUUGGCUGCGUAUAAAGUUCUGCCUGUUGGUGCAGAAACAAUGAAUAUUUUCUUGCUUUCGUGCCUUUCAACCUGGUUACCAAAUGUCUUUACUGCAUGGGUUGACCAAACACCGAGAACAAUAACGAAGGAGACAGGCGAAUCACUGACCAUCAACUGUGUCCUAAAAGAUGCUAGCUAUGCAUUGAGUGGCACGUACUGGUAUCUGACAAAAUUGGAUGCAACAAAGUGGGACCGCAUAUCAAUUGGUGGACGAUACUCUGAAACAGUGAACAAGGGAUCAAAGUCCUUUUCUUUGCGACUUCGUGAUCUGAGAGUUGAAGACAGUGGUGCAUAUCACUGUGAAGCGUAUGUUGACCACAGUAAUAAACCUGAUCUUCUACCAAGACAAAAACACCUUCAGAUCGUCCAUGAAGUAAAUUGGCCUUGUUUCAUCAUGUCAACGCUCAACAUGCACUUUGAGGCCAUAAUUUAUGAUACGGAUUACUGCGAUGACCACAACAAUCGAGAACUCGACUUCUGUAAUACAGAAACUACCAGCACACAUUGUUACCAGAACCGCAAACACUUUGAUUUAUUGGUUAUCAGGAUGGCCAGCUAUUCUGGAGCUUGGUCGGAUAUCAAACCUGGUUUUCUGAAACAAAUGUCAGAAAGUUUGAAUGGCGUUGAAUUGGAGCUGACGGAUUGUGACUGCUACCAUGAAGGAAGAGGCACUUUUCUGGCAGUGAAACCUAGAGCAUACCCUUCUCGACCAGUCAUCAGUCUCCUCUACUCUGAAGAACAGAGAGCAAACGGAUUUCUGCAGCUGGUUUGUCUAAUCAACAAAUUCUAUCCUGAAAACAUUGCGGUGAAAUGGCAGAAGAAUGGAAAUGCCAUAGGUUCUGGCUUUACAACCACAUCUCCAUUGAAAACAGCGAACAACGACUUUAGCUCUACCAGUUUGCUUAAAGUGCCCCUGCAGGAAUGGAGCAGCGGUUCUGUGUACAGUUGUCAAGUUUCCCAUUCUGCAACCAGCAGUAACCAGAGAAAGGAAAUUCAUUCAACAGCCGAGAUCGCUGUAUUACUAAGGGAUCCUUUGGUUGAAGAAAUCUGGAUCAAUAAAAAUGCCACUCUGGUUUGUGAAGUGCUUUCUACAGUUUCAGCUGGGAUAGUCAUCUCUUGGAUGGUGGAUGGAAAGGUACGGAAUGGAGGCGUUCAAACUGAAGCAGCUAUUGAAAACCAACGUCUGACCAUCAGCCGCUUGACUAGCAGCGUGGAUGAGUGGCAGAGUGGGGUGGAAUACACAUGCUCUGUAAAACACAAUCAAUCAUCAACCGCAGUAUCAAAACGAACAAGAAUGGCAAGAGUCAAACCAGAGAAGCCACAUCUCCGCCUCCUACCUCCAACACCAAACGAGGUUCAAAACGGCACCUCUGCUACUCUCACAUGUUUGAUAAGAGGAUUCUAUCCUGACAAAAUACGAGUUAACUGGGAGAAAGACGGAGCUUCUGUCAGCGCGAACAUCACCAUUUUCCCCACUGCUCUGGAACAGGACCUGACCUACAGCACACGGAGCCUUCUCGUUUUACCUGCAGUGGAAUGGAAGAGCGGAGCAAAAUACACCUGCACUGCCUCGCAUCCAUCUUCACAGUCCACUGUGAAAAGGGUCAUCAGCCAGACGAAAGAUGAAUGCCAUCAGCCAGAUAUUUCUGUCAACCUACUGAAACCUGCGUUUGAAGAGAUUUGGACACAAAAGACAGCGACCAUCGUUUGCAAAAUCGUUUACAGCCAGUUAGGAAACAUCAAUGUUGUCUGGCAAGUGAACGGGUCUGAGAGAACUAAAGAAGUCGUGACGGAAAAUCCUGAUUGGAAUGGAAGUAAGUUCACCAUUGUGAGCAAACUUAAAAUCGUGGCGUCAGAGUGGGACAGCGGUGCCGAAUAUGUUUGCUUGGUCGAAGACAGUCAAUUACCAACACCAGUAAAAGACUCUAUCAAGAAGGCAACUGAUGGUCAAAUGGGUCCUCCUCAGGUUUAUCUCCUGCAUCCAUCGACUGACGAGAUUGACACUGAGAAUUCAGCGACUCUGAUGUGUCUCGCCACCAGCUUUUACCCAGCUGACAUUUACAUUGGCUGGAUGGCCAAUGACACGCUCUUGGAUGCCGGGUACCGGACGCACAUGGAUAGUGAGAAGGGGAAUGGUUCCAACUUCGUGACCAGCAGGUUGAGAGUCACAGCGGCGGAAUGGAACAGUGACAUCACUUACUCCUGCUUAGUGGGACACCCAUCCCUCAGCCGGGAGUUAAUCAGAAGUAUUAAUAAGUCUCGUGAUAACCCAGAAAUAAUGGAAUACCCAGGAGACUCUGGCAGCGAAGAAAACGAACGAGAAAAUGUCGAUGGAGAUGCCAACAGCUCCUUAUCCAUCAUGACUUUCGUCAUCCUGUUUAUUCUCAGUAUGCUAUACAGCACAUUUGUAACUGUGCUUAAGGGCAUGUCUAACCAGAGUUGAGGUUACCUCGGCGUGAUCUUUUGUCAAUAGUUUCCAGAUCAUAUUCCAGAUGUCCCGACUUCAUAACUAUCGUCUGUUUUUGCCUUUUUGUGUAUGCAUUACAAUUCUAAAUGUUUUAUACAUUUCUUCUCGUAAUUAUUGCACUUCUUCUCCCUGCAGGUGAAGUGACCUCCACUAUUGAAAGUAAUUACAUCUGAUUUCAUUGAAAGCUUGUGAAUAAAGCUCCCAUUAGAUGCUGAUCGCAAAUCGCAUUGAAUCGAUUUUCGCUCUCAACCGUUUUGACUGCUCCACGGCAUCACUUCAACGUGUCAUCCUAUUUACUCUCAACUAAGGAAUGGGAAUUGCUCGCACAUUUUUCAUCAUUAAUGUUUGCCAUCACGCUUUCUUUUUUAUGUAUUGAUGUUAAGGAAAUUCCUUGUAACUGCUUCAGACUGAGGAAAUUACACUUCCCCAAUUUAAUAAGGUGAAGACAAAUCUUUGAAAGUUGCCAAAUGUUGGUAACAUUUUGAAAAUUUGAUGUGUAUCUAAUGUAACUAGCCUGUAAGAGGUAUUUUCGAUAUAUAUUUGUGACUAGUAAAGAGUAACUUUCCGAACAGACAGGCGGUCAAACAUAGAACGUUUACCCAAGAGCAUUAGAUAGAUCACAGAAGUUCAAAUCAUUAGUAUAGAAUCAAAAAAUGCAUCAUCCAAAAAUUGUGUUUGAGAUGACUUGAAAACAAAUCUACAAGCUUGAACGUUCUUCUCCCCACUGUUGUUCACUAAUAAUCUGCCAGCGCGAGAUGAAGAAUUCCUCUGUUUGUUUUUUUUAUUUGCUAAAUACUAAGGCUAUCAGUGCUGAAUGUGAGUAAUCGUUUCGUUUGCUUGAACUAACGAAGGCAAUGUUGAAAAUAUCUUCAGGAUAUUUCAAGAUACAGAGCCCAGAGAGCACUUAAUACAAAUUCAUGAGAGUAGCAUUCAAUUGUAUUCCACCUUAACACAGUCCCAGGAUUUCACAUUCUUGUAGAAAUCUAAUGGGUACUGUGCACUGCCAUUACUGUCAGUAACAACACAUAUGUGGAAAAGUGUUCCAAAUAUGAUUCCUUUUUCAAAUCAUUGUUACGAAUUCCAUCAAAAUUGUUGUUAUAAUAGUGGCUGAAAAGCAAAUUGACGAGGGGCUAUUUUCCAACAUACUUUAAAACGAUUCGUUAUCUCUCUCUACUGUCAAAGGCAAAAGAACAUCAAAUCGACACAAGAUGGUCUGCAUAAUCAUUGCUAGAAUGCAAAUGACAGAUUUAUCUGCUGUUUAUCCAGCUGCAAACCUUACAAGUUGCAAUGAAAACGAUUAAUUAUAAGAGAAUAAAUCUCGUUUUGAGUGGAUCUGGGAUUCAUUCCUGAAAUGACUGGGCCAUUUCAAACCUUGCAACAUCUUUGUCAUUUGCUUGCUCAGUAUCUUAUACUGUAUUCCCACGUGUUUCUGAGACUUUGAAUUGACUUCAUUGACAAGACUGUCAUGAUUGUGAUUUUCAAAUGAAAAAUGUAGUGUCUGAAACAGUAGAAACUUGCACUUAGUUCCGCGAACUGUGGAAAUGAAAUGCUGUCACCAAUACAUGCCCCUGUUGUGUUUUCAUUUCGUUACUGCUUUUAUAUUCUUCAAUGUAGAGGUGUGAAAUGUGCUUGCUAUUUUGUGAUCCAUGUUGAUAUUCAUUUGUUUUGCUGAAACUCUGGCCUAAAAACUAACAUGUGUUUUUGAAGUUCAAUGUUAUUCAGUUCGUUCCAAUGACUACGUCAAUAAUUGCCUACAUUCGCUUUAUAAAUGGUGUUGCUUUUGCAAGUAAAAUUUAAAAAAUCAAGUUUUAAAUAAA